UCUUCGGACCUCGCGCCAUUAGAUGAGCCUAGGUCGGAUUAGCUAGUUGGUGAGGUAAUGGCUCACCAAGGCGACGAUCCGUAACUGGUCUGAGAGGAUGAUCAGUCACACUGGAACUGAGACACGGUCCAGACUCCUACGGAGGCAGCAGUGGGAAUAUUGGACAAUGGGCGAAAGCCUGAUCCAGCCAUGCCGCGUGUGUGAAGAAGGUCUUCGGAUUGUAAAGCACUUUAAGUUGGGGGAAGGGUAGUAACCUAAUACGUUGCUACUUUGACGUUACCGACAGAAUAAGCACCGGCUAACUUCGUG
rnacentral:rRNA from 1 species